CUGAGUUCAUGCCCUUACGGGUAGAUCUCCCACCCUUGAAUAUCUAAACCUUUGUUGCUUUGGCGGGCCGCUUCAGCUACCGGCUCCGGCUGGUGAGUGCCCGCCAGAGAACCUUAAACUCUGAAUUACAGUGUCGUCUGAGUACUAUAAAAUAGUUA
rnacentral:misc_RNA from 1 species